rnacentral:snoRNA from 1 species
AAGACUAUACUUUCAGGGAUCAUUUCUAUAGUUUGUUACUAGCGAAGUCUCUUUCAAUGUGUAGAGAGAAGGAGGAGGCACAGUGUU